rnacentral:rRNA from 1 species
AUUGAACGCUGGCGGCAGGCCUAACACAUGCAAGUCGAACGGUAACAGGAAGAAGCUUGCUUCUUUGCUGACGCGUGGCGGACGGGUGAGUAAUGUCUGGGAAACUGCUUGAUGGAGGGGGAUAACUACUGGAAACGGUAGCUAAUACCGCAUAACGUCGCAAGACCAAAGAGGGGGACCUUAGGGCCUCUUGCCAUCGGCUGUGCCCAGAUGGGAUUAGCUAGUAGGUGGGGUAACGGCUCACCUAGGCGACGAUCCCUAGCUGGUCUGAGAGGAUGACCGGCCACACUGGAACUGAGACACGGUCCAGACUCCUACGGGAGGCAGCAGUGGGGAAUAUUGCACAAUGGGCGCAAGCCUGAUGCAGCCAUGCCGCGUGUAUGAAGAAGGCCUUCGGGUUGUAAAGUACUUUCAGCGGGGAGGAAGGGAGUAAAGUUAAUACCUUUGCGCAUUGACGUUACCCGCAGAAAAAGCACCGGCUAACUCCGUG